UGUGUGUAUAUCUUUGUGUGUAUAUUUGAAUGUAGAUGUGUAUACACACAUGCACACACACACACAUACACACACAAACAAACACAAACAUA
rnacentral:miRNA from 1 species